rnacentral:rRNA from 1 species
UACGGGGGGGGCAAGCGUUGUUCGGAAUUACUGGGCGUAAAGGGCUCGUAGGCGGCCAACUAAGUCAGACGUGAAAUCCCUCGGCUUAACCGGGGAACUGCAUCUGAUACUGGAUGGCUUGAGAUUGGGAGAGGGAUGCGGAAUUCCAGGUGUAGCGGUGAAAUGCGUAGAUAUCGGGAGGAACACCUGUGGCGAAGGCGACCCCCUGGUUGGAUACUGACGCUGAGACGCGAAAGCGUGGGGAGCAAACAGG